CCCUCUAAAGUUGAACCAAAUACAUAAAUUCGAAGGAAUUAAAAUCCUUUUCUCUAGAAUUCUGUUACGCCUGGAUUAAGCCGUCAACAAAUGUGGAUGUUGAUCAUGGCCCGUCAGCUUGACUGGCCAGUAAGGAAGUCUGAUAGGGUGGCAGUGAAACCCGUUUGGCAGAAAGAUUAUCAGAUGGGUAAAGUCAGGAAGUAGGAACUCAGCCAAACAUUAGUGUAUCCGGAAAUCAAAAACACAUUUUGUGUUCAAGCAACUCACUAAUGCAUGCAUCAAGAAUUAUCCAAGCUCCUUGAUCCACAAUAUGAAAAUGCAGUUUUUACCAUCUUCAUUACUUUAAUAUGGUUUUUUUGGACAUACCGCAACGCUAUGCUUUUUCUUCAUAACAAGUAUCGGAAACAUUGUUG